UAGAAUUCCACGUGUAGCGGUGAAAUGCGUAGAGAUGUGGAGGAAUACCGGUGGCGAAGGCGGCCUUCUGGACAGAUACUGACGCUGAGAUGCGAAAGCGUGGGGAGCAAACAGGAUUAGAUACCCUGGUAGUCCACGCUGUAAACGAUGUCGAUUUGGAGUUUGUUGCCUAGAGUGAUGGGCACCGAAGCUAACGCGAUAAAUCGACCGCCUGGGGAGUACGGCCGCAAGGUUAAAACUCAAAUGAAUUGACGGGGGCCCGCACAAGCGGUGGAGCAUGUGGUUUAAUUCGAUGCAACGCGAAGAACCUUACCUGGUCUUGACAUCCACAGAAUCUUGCAGAGAUGCGAGAGUGCCUUCGGGAACUGUGAGACAGGUGCUGCAUGGCUGUCGUCAGCUCGUGUUGUGAAAUGUUGGGUUAAGUCCCGCAACGAGCGCAACCCUUAUCCUUUGUUGCCAGCGAUUCGGUCGGGAACUCAAAGGAGACUGCCGUUGAUAAAGCGGAGGAAGGUGGGGACGACGUCAAGUCAUCAUGGCCCUUACGACCAGGGCUACACACGUGCUACAAUGGCGUAUACAAAGGGAGGCGACCUCGCGAGAGCAAGCGGACCUCAUAAAGUACGUCUAAGUCCGGAUUGGAGUCUGCAACUCGACUCCAUGAAGUCGGAAUCGCUAGUAAUCGUGAAUCAGAAUGU
rnacentral:rRNA from 1 species